rnacentral:rRNA from 1 species
CUUGUCUAUGUGAAAGCCUUCGGCUCACCGAAGAAGUGCAUUGGAAACUGGGAGACUUGAGUGCAGAAGAGGACAGUGGAACUCCAUGUGUAGCGGUGAAAUGCGUAGAUAUAUGGAAGAACACCAGUGGCGAAGGCGGCUGUCUGGUCUGCAACUGACGCUGAGGCUCGAAAGCAUGGGUAGCGAACAGGAUUAGAUACCCUGGUAGUCCAUGCCGUAAACGAUGAUUACUAAGUGUUGGAGGGUUUCCGCCCUUCAGUGCUGCAGCUAACGCAUUAAGUAAUCCGCCUGGGGAGUACGACCGCAAGGUUGAAACUCAAAAGAAUUGACGGGGGCCCGCACAAGCGGUGGAGCAUGUGGUUUAAUUCGAAGCUACGCGAAGAACCUUACCAGGUCUUGACAUCUUCUGACAGUCUAAGAGAUUAGAGGUUCCCUUCGGGGACAGAAUGACAGGUGGUGCAUGGUUGUCGUCAGCUCGUGUCGUGAGAUGUUGGGUUAAGUCCCGCAACGAGCGCAACCCUUAUUACUAGUUGCCAGCAUUAAGUUGGGCACUCUAGUGAGACUGCCGGUGACAAACCGGAGGAAGGUGGGGACGACGUCAAAUCAUCAUGCCCCUUAUGACCCUGGG